ACUUCAUACGCUACUCUGCUGAAGUUGUACGCUACCGGCGCUUAACACUCCGGUGACGAUGUACGAUCAAAACUAUUAUGAACUUCAUUCACUACCAGCGCUUAACUCUCCAGUGACGGCGAUAAUACCUACUGCCAAGAUUCGCUACUCUUAUCUUGGGAUGUGGUUAGCAUUAAGGAAAUUGCAUCAUUCUGCAGAGGCCAUCUGGUCGGAGCUUCCCCGGCAAUCAUCUCAUCAAUGUGAUCAAUUUUUCACCCCAGGUGAUGUAAGGCCAAGUGUGAAAAUGAAUCUUGUUAACAGCUAAAAUAGCAAAUUACAAGGUCAAGGGGAGUGCACAAGUACAUGUGAUGGGGAGUCAAAAGAAGGUAAACCAUUCCUGCCCCUGUUCCUGACCUGAAUAAGAGCUGAGUCUUUUCAGUUAUUUAUUUUCAUUUCUUUCCCCUACUUUUCAAGAUAAUCUAGAAUGCAUUCGUAUUAAUCAUGAUAGUAUUAGAGAUUACAAUGCCUCUUUUUGUCUUGGUAAAAUGGAGGAGCUGAAAGACUUCUUCUGCUUUUUCUUCUUCCUUAUAAAAAUCAUCUGUUUUACCUUCAUUACAAGCAUCAAUACAUUUACGCGAGUCCCCAUCCACCCUAGAGGAAAGCAUAGCUCUUGGUUGCAAAUAAUUCUUAAGAUUCUCUUCACCAUGAGAAUGCAUGUGUCAAAUCAUCUCAAUCAUAAUAGAAUUCAGAAGGACCUGAAUUAUAAACAUCCCAGGGACCAAAUCCCCCCUAUACUGGCCAUAUCCUCUUUAGAGCUAGAAAGAGCAUAAAAAUUGAGAUCAAACUUUGUUGAAUUUGGGAACAAGCAGUCCACUUUUUCCAAAUUAAUUAUGGCAGGGAUCAAGAGAAUAUGUUCCAUGUUUCCAAAAUUAUACGUAACAACAACUUCAUUGAAGAUUAACAUCUUGAAACCUUGUCCCAGCAAAGGAUCUGGUGGCAGAGGAGAGGUUCUGGACUAAAAUAACAAAAAUUUCAGUCUGUUCGCCGUAAUCCAUGAUAUGUUUGUCUUUAUCCAGAAUGUCCUUGGUUAAUGAAGAUUUUUCUGAAUCUCCUGAAGAAUCUUGACCUCUGCAAUGUCUUGCUCUGAGUUUUUCACCUGGAGAAGUUCUCAAAAUAACCUUUGAUUUAAGACCCGGUUAACAUCAUCGGCUACUUCAAAUUUAACACUAUAUUCAUCUUCAAGGCUAUUUUGUUUUUUUCUGUAGUACUUUUUAAAACUUAAUACGUACAUCACUAUUAAUAGAUGAUCCAUCAUGAGGAUGGUGGAGGUUUUGUCUUCCGUGGAAUUUCAAUAAAACUUGUUUUCCGUGGAGCCUGAUUAAACGGUUGGUUAGCACGGAACCUCAGGUGGUGGGUCUAUGAGAUUUUGGAAUGAAAUUUCCAUAUCAUGGUGUUUCUUCUCAGCUCAUAAGGUUAACUGAUGCAUGCAGCCACAACAGAUUUCAAUGCUUUUGGUGAAAUUAGACAUGACCUUCCACUUUUCUUAUUUUUAUUGCUCUCUGGUUUAACUCAAAAUGGCAAUCAAACAUGUUCUCUGUUGAGUUGUAAACCUGUUGCUUGUUUGGCACUUCAAGUGGGUCUGUAAGAAUUUGGAGAAAGUUCCAUUUCAUGGUGUUCCUUCUCUGUCUCAUAAGGCUAACUGAUGCUUGCAGCCAUGACAGGUUCCUAUGCUUUUGAGUUGAUUCAUGUUUUGAAAAGUUUAGUUUCUUUCCCACCCCUCAUCGAACUCCCUUUUUUCGUGAUAUUACAAAGGUAAUCCCUGUUUUUUUAUUCUUAUUACUCACUCUCUCUGUUUUAUACACAAUGAGAUUUGGAGGUUUUCAUUUAUUGAUGUUCAAUCAAACAUGUUGCCUCUUUCCUGCCAAGCUAAAGAACUGUUGCUUGGCACGGGACUUCAUUUGGGUUUAUGAGAUUUUGGGAGAAGUUUCAUUUUUUGGUCUUUCUUCUCUGUUUCAUAGGCAAACUGAUGCUUGCAGCCAUGUUGGGUUUCCAAGCUUUUCAGCUGAUCGUGUUUUGGCAUUGCAAAGUUCAAUUUCUUUUUGUCACUAAAUCAUUGUUUUGGUGAAACUAUACGACUUCCUACUUUUCUUGUUCUUAUUACUCUCUCUGGUAUAACUCAAAAAGCAAUUUAACAUGUUCUGUCUUGAGCUGAAUUUUUUGCUUGGCAUGGCACCUCAGGUGGGAAUAUGAGAUUUAAGAGAAAGUUUCAUUUCAUGAUGCAUCUUAUCUGUCUCAUAAGGCUAACUGAUGCUUGCAGCGAUGACAGAUUUCUAAGCUUGUGAGCUGAUUCGUGUCUUGGCUUUAAGUUCGGUUUCCUUUCCCCCUUCAGCAAACCAUCCUUUUCGUGAAAUUACACAUGACCUUCCUCUUUUCUUAUUCUUAUUACUCUCUCUGCUCCUUUUUAAAAAACCAUGACGAUGUGUAGGUUUUCUCUUCCUUGGAAGUUCAAUAAAAAUUUGUAUGAUUUCACAGGGGUUGUUGAGAAGUUGGUUUCAAACAGCUUUGAUGCAGGAAUUGUUACCAUGGGAGGCCAAAUGGAUAUUGUAAGGUUAGGAGGACAACAAGUGUUUUGUACGUUGAAUUGACGAUUGGUACAAAAGUAAUUGUUCAUGAUGUAUUUUACGACUGACCAGUUCGAAGGAAGCAAAUGCACUCCGAACACUUCUAGUUUCCUCACAAUCAAACAAGUAGAAAUGAGGAUGACCUGGUUUGCACACGUGCUUCUCCUUGUCCUUGCCGCUGUUGUCCAGUGGGUUUGGGAUUCAUCUGGAUUCCCUUAAAAAUUGAAUCCAAGCGCUGGUUCAUUCAAGUUUUCAGGAUGCCUCUCAGGUCCUGAUGUUUACACAAUGAGGGUAUACAUGCCCAAAUUGAUGGAUAAAGAGAUGUGAUAAGUCAUCUUCUCUACACGUUGUUUCCCUAACAACCACGGAUUAAUUUGCAGGUCCUUCAGUAUUUCAUUAUCCACUUAUUUUAGUAUGUUGUCAGGAAACAGAAACCUAAUCUUUGGUUAAUAUUCACUAUACUGGAUGCUUGUUUUUGUACGAUGUCUUUGUUUUCCUUGACCUCCGUAAUGCAAAUAUCAAUUCAAGAUUUGUUUCCAAAGGACCAAUAAAUAAAUUACUUAACAACAUAGCUAUGAGUUUUGACAGUGCAUCUGACAUCGAGAAGCAAAAUAGAUCUCAGAUAUAUCCACUGUUUUUGGAAGCCUUCAAAGACAUUUGUGGAAUUUAAGGAUAUGUUAAGGAUGUUCAAACGGUUAUCAACAACCUCGAAGGCCCCACUCUCACAGCUCAAAAAAAAGUUUAAAUUAUUAAGAAGAAAGUUCUGCUCAAUUUAUUAUUUUACUUCAUCUUCUGAGGCUGUACUUUAUUUCUCACGGAAUGGACUGGUGUUGAUGGGAGAAAGAUAUGCGUGUGUUGAAGAUGUUUAAGAAUUUGUUUUUACCUUUUGAGUGAGAUGGGGAGCAUUAAGUGAAUGCCUAAGGCUUUGGAGCUCAAUUCUGUCACAGGGGUUAUCUUGUAUUAUUUCACAAGGGUUGUUGAGGAGUUGAUUUUCAGCAGCCCAGAUGCUGGUGCCACCAAGGGCAUAUGCUAAUAUCGAUUUAAAGAGAAAUAUAUGCCUCAACAUACUUAAGAGAAGGUUGAAACCUGUUCUCAAUAUCAACACAAUUAGCCAUGGAUUGUAUCUUCGUUUCACGGAACCAAACCAUGAGGAUCCCCUUAAUCUCGAGGCUGCUGCUGUUGAGAGAUAAUCCCGAGUUUAAAUAAAAUGUGAAAAGGGCUAUGCAUUGUGGAACUGUAGUCAAUAUAAGCUUCACGCAAUGCAUGUAACCUAUCCUCUGGUGCUGGUAAUAGUGUUCCUGAUCAGAUGCUGUAUCAUUUUGAGGUUUGCUGGGUUGUAUAUGGUGUCUGCAAACUUGCAGUGCCAUCUUAUCUGAGUGUGUGAUUUUAGCUUUAAGUUCUUUGACGUGUAUCCAUUGAUGUAUCUGUUAUGCUGGCUGAACAGCAUGUCAUGAACAGAAAGUAAACAAAUGGAAUGGUUAUAUAUAGAUGAAAGAGCAUUGCCUAAGAAGAAAACUCAACUAUCUAAAUUCCGUUUAA